rnacentral:rRNA from 1 species
GACGAACGCUGGCGGCGUGCUUAACACAUGCAAGUCGAACGGAAAGGCCCUGCUUUUGUGGGGUGCUCGAGUGGCGAACGGGUGAGUAACACGUGAGUAACCUGCCCUUUACUUUGGGAUAACUUCAGGAAACUGUGGCUAAUACCUGAUAGGAGCUCCUGCUGCCUGGUGGGGUUUGGAAAGUUUCGGCGGUUGGGGAUGGACUCGCGGCUUAUCAGCUUGUUGGUGGGGUAGUGGCUUACCAAGGCUUUGACGGGUAGCCGGCCUGAGAGGGUGACCGGCCACAUGGGGACUGAGAGACGGCCCAGAGGGGUACGGGAGGCAGCAGGGGGGAGUAUUGCACAGUGGGCGGGAGCGUGAGGCAGCAACGCCGCGGGCGGGAUGAAGGCCUUCGGGGUGUAAACCGCUUUCGCCUGUGACGAAGCGUGAGUGACGGUAAUGGGUAAAGAAGCACCGGCUAACUACGUG